rnacentral:rRNA from 1 species
GUCGCUACUACCGAUUGAGUGUUUUAGUGAGGUCCUCGGAUUGAUAGCCUGGCGGUUAACGCUGCCUAGCUAACGAAAAGACGACCAAACUGUAGCACUUAGAGGAAGUAA